CGGGUGAGUAACGCGUGAGGAACCUGCCUCAGAGAGGGGGACAACAGUUGGAAACGACUGCUAAUACCGCAUAAGCCCACGGCUCGGCAUCGAGCAGAGGGAAAAGGAGUGAUCCGCUUUGAGAUGGCCUCGCGUCCGAUUAGCUAGUUGGUGAGGUAACGGCCCACCAAGGCGACGAUCGGUAGCCGGACUGAGAGGUUGAACGGCCACAUUGGGACUGAGACACGGCCCAG
rnacentral:rRNA from 1 species